CCAAGGAGUCUAACAUGUGCGCAAGUCUUGGGGUGACUGAAACCCAGAGGCGCAAUGAAAGUGAAGGCUGCCUAGCAGCUGAGGUGAGAUCUUUGCUCUACGCGAGUGAGGCGCAUCAUCGACCGACCUAUUCUACUCUUAGGAAGGUUUGAGUAAGAGCGUACAUGUUGGGACCCGAAAGAUGGUGAACUAUGCCUGAGUAGGGUGAAGCCAGAGGAAACUCUGGUGGAAGCUCGUAGCGAUUCUGACGUGCAAAUCGAUCGUCGAACUUGGGUAUAGGGGCGAAAGACUAAUCGAACCAUCUA
rnacentral:rRNA from 1 species